AAGAUUGUGGUAGCUAUCUGCCAACUCAGAGAGACAGCAGCAGAGUCUCCACAAGUGAAGCAGCUUGUUUACAAAGUGCUCACAGUAGGAAAGAGCUUCUUGUAAACACUUCGGGAAAUAGCAAAUGGCGUGUGCACACGUCCAUAGCCCUGAAAGCUGCAUCUGCUGAGCACCUCAAGCCUCUUUGGAGUCCACCCAGAGAGCCCCAGGAGCGUCUGGACUGUCCCAGUGGUGACCCUAUUCAAUAUGGCCAGGCAUCAGGUGAUACUUCUCCUUCAAGGAUUUUCAGAGUCACUUUUCAGAUGGGUACCUGGACAGCAGCUCGAACAGCCUGCCUGGGACUGUAGCUUGGAGCCUACAAUUCCCAGGACGCUGAGGUUCCUCGGACCAGCUGAGCCAGGCUGUGGUGAGGUACAUAUACCAAAGAAGUCAACAUAGGAAAAAAGGCCUCUUCUGCAUCUAAAUAUUGAUGGAGCAUUGUAGGAGCAAGAAAUAC